CGAAGAUGCGAGAAGGCUGGGGCCUGGCGGGUGGAGGCGUUGGGAAGCCAGGGCUUGAAGUCCACCUGUGAGGACAGGCUUCCUAGCGAUCUUAUGACUAUCUUAAGAAGAAUAUUUUUUUGGCUAAUCCCUCAACCUAAGAAAAUUGUCUGGAGUUUGUGGUAUGCCAGAUCCCCAAGGAGAGUGACCUCCAGAAACUUCC